UACGUAGGGGGCAAGCGUUGUCCGGAUUUAUUGGGCGUAAAGAGCGUGUAGGCGGCCUGGUAGGUCAGCUGUGAAAACUCGAGGCUCAACCUCGAGACGCCGGUGGAAACCGUAAGGCUAGAGUCCGGAAGAGGAGAGUGGAAUUCCUGGUGUAGCGGUGAAAUGCGCAGAUAUCAGGAGGAACACCCGUGGCGAAAGCGGCUCUCUGGGACGGUACUGACGCUGAGACGCGAAAGCGUGGGGAGCAAACAGG
rnacentral:rRNA from 1 species